UGUUAAAUACAUACUGAUCAGUACCAGUGAGCUCUCCAUGGGUCCUGUUUCAGGAAGGUGGGUAUUUAACCCAAACUCCCACAUAUAAAAGUGGUUAUCUACAUAGCUUUUCAGGUAAAAGGGGAGGCAGUGCUUUCAAUCCUUUAUUUUAUUGACUUUAUUAGCAAUGUGAUUGUAAAUUGAUGAAUGGUGGCAUUUUUGACUGUUAAAUAGAGCACUCAGGGUUGUUUGGUUUCUUGUAGCACAUGUUUGGUGGGUAUAAACUUCACUGAUCACAAAGCUGAUGAAACAUUUUUUAUUUAUUUCAUACAUAGGAUAUCCACCUUUCUGCUCUGAAACACCUCAAGAAACAUACAGAAAAGUGAUGAACUGGAAAGAAACUCUGGUAUUUCCUCCAGAGGUACCUAUAUCUGAGAAAGCCAAGGACUUAAUUCUCAGAUUUUGUAUUGAUUCUGAAAACAGAAUUGGAAAUAGUGGAGUAGAAGAAAUAAAAGGUCAUCCCUUUUUUGAAGGUGUCGACUGGGAGCACAUAAGGGAAAGGCCAGCAGCAAUCCCUAUAGAAAUCAAAAGCAUUGAUGAUACUUCAAAUUUUGAUGACUUUCCUGAAUCUGAUAUUUUACAACCAGUGCCAAAUACCACAGAACCGGACUACAAAUCCAAAGACUGGGUUUUUCUCAAUUAUACCUAUAAAAGGUUUGAAGGGUUGACUCAACGUGGCUCUAUCCCCACCUACAUGAAAGCUGGGAAAUUAUGAAUGAAGAUAACAUUCACCCAUAAACAAGAGAACUCAGGUAGCUGCAUCACCAGGCUUGCUUGGCGUAGAUAACAAUACACUGAAAUACUCCUGAAGAUGGUGGUGCUUAUUGACUACAAGAGGAAAUUCUACAGGAUUAGGAUUUCUAAGACUACUAUAGGAAUUGGUUGGCAGUGCCAGCUGGCUCUUUUUUUUAAUAUUUUAUUAUUUUUGUUAACUUUAUUAUAC
rnacentral:sRNA from 1 species